rnacentral:tRNA from 1 species
UCCCUGGUGAUCUAAUGGUUAAGGACUCGGCACUGUCACUGCUGUGGCUCAGGUUCGAUUCCUGGCUCAGCAA